GUCCAGAAUCAGAAGGUCUACGACUGACGUGUCACUUCGGCCCCUUCUCAGCACAGCCGCUGUAGUCCCCAAGUGAGGGGCAGCAAGCACACGGCCUGAUGUUCCUCCUUCGUUCCUCCUCUGCCUCCCAGGGUUUGGGGAUUUGGGCCACCAACCGAUGAUAACCCAGAAAACAUGACACAAUGCUUGAUUGAUGUGGGCUACAAGAGCUUUUGCUUGGAUAAGUGAAUCUUGGAACUCCCUGAGUCUCACGGGGAUGUCUGAAGAAUGUUCAUGUGCAGAUCAUUCACUUCAUUGCGCUGGCCUCACACAAGUGAAGAUCUCAUUAUUGAAAUGAGAGCUCUGUACAAAUAUUGGGCUAACAAAUUUAUACAGUUAUCUCACAAAGAUAAAUAGCUAAUGCAAUCUCAUGGUCGUUGGCCAAAAUGUUUCUAAUGUGGAAGGCUGAAGGUAUUACCAGGAGAAUAAUCUCACCAACACUUCAAUGCGACAAUUUAGAAUGUGGGUGCUUAUUUUCCAGUACAUGUAAUACAUUCUUCCAUUGAUACAAAGCCUUCGCUCGUUAAAAAGUGAAGGGAUUAGAUUAUAUCUGUUGAGGAGAGACUAUGAGACACGUAAUUAAAGUUCAUGGGGAUUCUUUUACAAAAUACCAACAUUACAAUGUUUGUACAUAUGUGAAGAAACUUGGAAAUGUGAGGUAAAAAGCCUCAUGGUCACACUCAGCGAAGGUUGCCAAAGAUUAAUGGGACCUUUGAGUAGAAGGUUUGCUAUAUGCUUUUUCCUAUUUCUUUCUUUUAAUUGUUGUUUUGGUGGGUGGGUGUGACUACUAUUGCUAAUUCUUACUGGUUUACACUAAUAAAUCAUUUUUCUAUAUAAAUGGAAUUUUAAAAUAAAAUUGCCUUUUGAGUAUCUUGCAA